CCUGCUGCUCAUCCCCUUUCUUCUUCCCUGCAUCAAAAUAUGACGAGGAGAGGCACCAAAAAGCAUGCCCGCGUGACGCGCCCUGGCCACUGCAAGCAACCAUGCGGCCGCUGCGAGCGAACGCCAUGGCUGGCUUCGAGCGCUCCUCUCCAUGGCCGCUGCCGCCGGACGCGUUAGUCGCCAUGGCUGGCUCCCGAUUCCCUGUAGUGAGAGCUGCAUCCCGAGUGACGGUGGCGGUGCUGGAGCUGUUCAAGCUAUGAGCGAUAUCGGCAAGGCGAAGAUACAAGAAAUGCUGGAACCCACUGACUGGAAAUCUGCAACCGGCCACACGAUAUGCUGGAAGCAGUGUCCCCAGAGCUGGAACCAUAGUCCAUUUUUGCUGCAAUCAGCAGUCGCGGGGGUGAAGACGAGAAGGUACGGUGCUACUACCAGAGAGUUUUUUUGCUGGUACUGGAUCCUGCUCCAUUUUUGCUACAACCAGCAGCUGCCAAGGUGAAGACAGCGAGGUACGGUGCUACUACCAUAUAGUUUUUUUUUGCUGGAACCAGGCGGAGAAAAAAGCUGCAACCGCGAUUGAUCGGUGAUGCAACGGGACGACGUCGAGAUGUGUUUUGCUGCAACCAGCAAAAAAAUUGCUGGAACCUGUAAGAAUUUUUUCUGGGAGGAUAGACGAGAAUUUUGCGGCGGCCACCCAAAGUGGUGCGAACCGAAUGAUGGUGACGAGCGGAGGCGGUGAUGAUGGCUCAGGGAUGUUGCAACCAUGGUGGCACGUGCUGGAACCAGCCGGCAGGCGAGUUGCAUUCAUCAAUGAAACAUGGGACGGUUGUCGACGGCGACAAACUGAGGGGGAGGGGGAGGGCGCUGCGCGAUGCGGCGAUGGUGGGCGGCCGCCAUGACUUGUGGUGUUUCUUCAUAUCUGAAACGCGAACGGGGUGAGAACUGAGAAGGAAGGAGGCAACCUGGAUUUUUUUUA